rnacentral:rRNA from 1 species
UACGGGGGGGGCAAGCGUUGUUCGGAAUUACUGGGCGUAAAGGGCUCGUAGGCGGCCCACUAAGUCCGACGUGAAAUCCCCAGGCUUAACUUGGGAACUGCGUCGGAUACUGGUGGGCUUGAAUCCGGGAGAGGGAUGCGGAAUUCCAGGUGUAGCGGUGAAAUGCGUAGAUAUCAGGAGGAAUACCAAUGGCGAAGGCAGCCCCCUGGGUCAACACUGACGCUCAUGCACGAAAGCGUGGGGAGCAAACAGG